rnacentral:tRNA from 1 species
GCUUUCGUAGUGUAACUGGAAGCAUAUUCGACUCGUAUUCGAAAGGUCCAGGGUGCGAAUCCCGACGAGGGCA